AACUGUAGUGCUAAGACUAAAUGCUUCACGAUCCUUGGAGGGGUAAGAGGUGACGUGAGCCACGGGGAAGCCACCUAGGUCACCCUCAAAACUAUCCUUUGCAUGUCCCACAGCAACUCCAAGAAAACAAUCUGAACCUAAGACAACAGACGCAGCUGCACCUGGGACAGCAGACACAGCUGGGCCUGGGACAAUGGACACAGCUGUACCUAGAAAAGCAGAAACAGCUGUGCCUGGGAAAAGGAACACAGCUGUGCCUGGAACAGCAGACCCAGCUUCACCUGGGACAGCAGACACAGCAGAACCUAUGAGAACAACCACUCCAACAGUUCUGGCCUCCUGGCCUUCUCUCACCCAGAGCACCAACAGCACCCAGCCCACGGCUCUUACCAGCCCCCUCACCAGGUGAGCAGAGCUGGGCUCCCACAGACCUUUCCCUAGGCUGCCCCAUGACUGCUCCUUCAGAUGCUCUCACCAGGGACCCUCAUGUGGCGCUCGUCAGGGGAGAAACAGUGAAGUCUGUAGUGGGCCUUCCCCUCCCUGUCUACACCUGAGCACUGCAGGAGAUUCUCCCUGAUGAGCUGCAACAGGCUGAGCUCCAGAGAGCAGGCUCUGGGCUCCAUGCUUCACCGAGUCCCUCAAGCCCCAGGAGGCAAAAGCGAGGUGAAGCUUUGGGUGCUCUGGAAGGGCAGCUGUCUGGGUGGCUUUCCUGUGGCUGCUGUAACUGAUCGUUACAAACUUUGUGGCUUAAAACAACACAGUCUCAUGAUCAUACAGCUGUGGAGACCAGAAGUCUGAAAUGGGUCUCACUGGGCUGAAAUCAAGGUGUUAACAGGGCUGGUUCCUUCUAGAGGCUCCAGCGGAGGGCCUGUUCCCUUGCCUUUUCCAGCUUCUGGAGGCCACCCGUGUUCCUUGGCUCAUGGCCCCCUCCUACCCAAAGCCAGCAAAGGUCGGUGGAGUCUCCCACAGAGCAUCGCUCCACUGUCUCUCCUGCCUCCCUCUUUCAUUUAUAAGGACGCUGGUGAUUCCACUGGGCUCAGCCAGAUGAUCCAGGAUAAUCCACCCUGGGUCACCUGACGAGCAGUCUCAAAUCCACCCACUGCCUUAAUUCCCCCUUGCAUGUAAUAAAACAUAUUCACAGGCUUUGGGGUUAUGACAUCGUGGGUGGGGUUCACUAUUCUGCCUACCACAGUCACAGGCAGGGGUGUGCCCAUCGCUCCAACUCUCCAGCCAAGGCUAGGGAAGGGCAGGGCGGGAGAGCGGGAAGCUGGGCCUCUUGCUUUUCUUUCACAUUCCCAGCAUGGUAGAUGGGUGUGGACAUCAAUCCGAAGCCCACCUCCUUUCGAGGGAUCAAUAGGAUGUCUCAUCACCGCGCAAAUGCGGCUGCCCCUGUUUAACCCCAUCACAGCCUGGUGCUUCAGGAUCCCUCAAAGUCCAGGGUCAAGGCCCAUUCUCUCCCUGGAUCCUGCCUUCCCUGCUCCACCGGCUCCCUUCUCCAGCCCAACUCCGUUCCUUUCAAAGGGUCUUGUUCCCUGGAGCCUGCCAGCACCGAUCCUGUGUUCCCUAGGAGUCCGGAAGAGGCGAGGCACUGGGGAUGCUUCCUGACCUGGCCUUCGUCUCGCUCCACUGUUUGCAGAGCGGUUGUUCUGCUGAGUGGGGAUGGCAGUGCCAGGACUUCUAGCGAGACGGGAGAGGCACAAGGGGAAACUUGGCGGGAAGAGACCAAGGGUGCGGCGGCUCCACGGGGAGUGGAACUUGCAAGAAGAACACAGUGGUUUAAAGGGUAUUUUUAGGAUGUGCAAUAUGGCAGGCCUGCUCUCACUCAAGAAAACUCUGAGUUAAAUUCACAUGACUCAUCACUGCUUCCAUGCCCUGGGCUGGAGGCCAGCUUCGGGGAGAGAACAGGGAUGGCCUGAGGGAAAGGGCCCUGGCACUGGGUGUAGGGGAGUGGAUGAGGAAUAAGACUGGGGAAUCAGACUCUUACACGCUGAUGGGGACUCCCCAGAACCCACUCGUUUAGCUAGACCAAAUAUUAAACAUGUGGGUGAUAUGAGGCAGCAGGUCUCAGAUCUGCUGUCAUAAAGUGGGUCCAAGCAGGAGGAGACCCCUCCCAGGAGAACCAAAUAGAUAAAUAGCCAGGUUGUUAGAAGUGGGGGAAUCUUCCUGUGCUUCAAAGAGGUAAUAAUAAUUAGAUUUGAGCUUGAAAGAUGGGCAGAAGUGACAAAGGGAGACACAAGGCAGAGAGAGGAGCAGAAGCAGGAAUACAGGACACAGCAGACCCUCGAGCUUGGCGGGACACAGGUGAGUAGCAGGGACUGUGGGAAAGAAGACCAAAGGCAGGCCUGGCUGGGUGCAGUGGCUCACGCCUGUCAUCUCAGCACUUUGGGAGGCCAAGGCAGGAGGAUGGCUUGAGCUCAGUAGUUCAAAAUCAGCCUGGGGUAUAUAGCGAGACGCCAUCUCGGCAAAUAAUGUUAAAGGCUGGGCAGUCACGGCCAAGGGCAGCGAAGGGGCCGGGCCCCAGACUGAGCCUGUGGGAAGGCCACUGGAAGCUCAGCCUCCGGGUGGCAUGACUUUGCCCCUUGCAUGGGGCUUCCCUGGUUGGGGACCAGGCAGCUGACCAGGGUGGCAGGUGUUGGCUCAGGGAAGAGGCUGCUCACUCUUGGCAUCUUGACCCCUUUGUCCAGGAUCCUGCUCUGCAACAUCCACUUCCUGCUCCCGAUCUCCCUGAAGGGGCUGCUGCUCGUGGGCCUGCUCUGCACUGUGCUGCAAGUGAGCAGUGCUAAGGGGGCCUCCAGGGGGAAAUAAAGUCACAGCCUGAGCCGGGGAACCGCAGCUCCCACACCAUCAACACCCUCGGAGGGGGCAAGCAGAACCUCUGGCCUCCUAUCAGGUAAUAAGCAGCAAUUGCAGUUCCCCAGGAGACAAGGGUCCCUGCAGAGAUGAAAUAUCCCUCAUCCUGGCCUCAGGAAGGCAAUCCCACUCCCAGCUGGCUCUGCACAGCACAGGGAUGCUGACGGGGCCUCUCUGCCUUCUGCCACCUCUGCCUCAGGAGCAGAUAAAAGAAAGGACAUCCCCCUUGCACACUGAUUCCUUGGAGGCAUCUGCAUCUCACCUUCAUGGAUCCUCCCUCAGGCCUCCUUUCCUUGUGGCUCCAGGAUGACCCUGUCAGAGAUACUGGACUAUCGUUCAGUUGCAGAGGCCCCAGGGCCUGUCUGGACUUUUCCAUCCCAAGAGGGGCUCGGCUCUAUCCCCUUUGUGCCUGUGACCCUCUCCAUCCCCCACCCGGCUCAGAACUGGCACAGCCACCACCAACCACUCCUGAUUCAACCCAAGCUUCGCCCUUUCCACCUCUCGAGCUGUGCAACAACAAAUGCAGGAUGCUCAGCCCUCAUGUGUCAGUCCCCUCAAUUCACUUGUAAUUAAAUAACAACACACCUCUUUUUCUAAUUUUCAAAGGUGUAUAUAUUUCCCCUCAAUAAAGUUGUUAGGAUUA
ensembl:lncRNA novel transcript